AGUUGUUGCGGUUAAAAAGCUCGUAGUCGAAUCUGUGUCCCGCGCCGCCGGUUCAUCGUCCGCGGUGUUAACUGGCGUGCCGCGGGACGUCCUGCCGGUGGGCUUAGCUCGCAAGGGCGGCCCAACUCAAUCCCGCCGCGGUGCUCUUCACUGAGUGUCGAGGUGGGCCGGCACGUUUACUUUGAACAAAUUAGAGUGCUUAAAGCAGGCUAAAACUUCGCCUGAAUACUGUGUGCAUGGAAUAAUGGAAUAGGACCUCGGUUCUAUUUUGUUGGUUUUCGGAACCCCGAGGUAAUGAUUAAUAGGAACGGAUGGGGGCAUUCGUAUUGCGACGUUAGAG
rnacentral:rRNA from 2 species